CCUGACAUGACUCGCUUAACACUCACCAGGAGAGAUCGAGAACGAGAAAGAUGAAGGGUGGUGAAUAGGCCCUGCGACUCCAGACAGAAGCCUUUUGGAUGAAACAUGGUCGUCAUUCAGCACAGCUGGAGGAGCUCGUGAAAUCCUUGGAGCAAUGGGGGGAAGUCGCUGUUGACUUGAUGCAGCAGCUGACUCUGGAGGUAAAGGAGUUUUCGGAUGGAGAGAUGACCGUAGUACUCACUUCGAUGGCUACAGAUAAGGAGGACUGGCAUGAUUAUCUGGAUGUGCUUAAAUCGUUCAGUCACCACCAUAGGUUCGAUGGUAUUGUGGUUCUCUUAUCCAUCAGUGAUUCAGUUCACCAUCCCCGCCAGCAGGUGGCUGUCUACUCAAACAACACAGAUAUCCUGAAACAGAUCUGCUCCGAGCUUGAAGAAUCCUCCAGCUGGUCUCUUUCUGGUGAACUGGAGGCUCUGGAGAGUCUUCAGGUUUAUCAUAUUCCACUGAACACCUCUGCAUCCUCUGGUUGUCCACCACUGCUCGUGGAGGAGAUCCAGGGCAUCCUUAAGGACUUUGUCGACCGG
ensembl:lncRNA